AAAGUCGUAACAAGGUUUCCGUAGGUGAACCUGCGGAAGGAUCAUUACAAAUCCAUCCACGUCUCUCUUUCGAGACCACGUUGAAAUGUUCCCCAGACCGGGGCGCGAGGGUGGCCGGAUGCUCUCCCCGCUUGCUUGCUUGCGAGGAGGCUCCCCCUCCGUCCGUCCCGGCCUGGGCUGUGAAACGAGUGUUACGUUGUUGCCCAAAUGUAUCUUGAUUUCAAUCAAACGAAAACUUGUACAACUUAUAACAAUGGAUCUCUAGGCUCUU
rnacentral:misc_RNA from 1 species